ensembl:processed_transcript
GGCUCUCGGGGUUCAGAAAGAUGUAGGUACUCUCACUUUUCUUUCUCCAAGACGUUUCGCCGCUGAAAACUUUUAUACGGUACAUUACAAUCAAGUUUCAAUCCUUACCAGUUUCCGGACAUCGCCGCAGUGUUAUUGGGGAAAAGAGUCCAGGAUUGCAAAAAAAGGCUCUGGUUUUUAAGGAGUGUUUUACAAGUUGGAGGCAUCCAGAGUCUGACGGGAUAGGACUGAGCCACUGUGUUUCACAAAAACUAUUCCGCUAACCUUUCAGCUGUAAGAAGCUCACUUCAGGAUCUGCCCCAUCCUGGUGGGUCACUCAGCCGGACUGAUGUGGAAUGCGACCCUUUAUGACCCCAUCCCACGGGCCUCUAUUCAAUGAGCCGGACUCGGGAGAGCACAGAUAAUAGAAGCAAGAGGCUGCCCCACAAAAAAGAGUGAAGUAACAGCAGCAGGAGUGUUCGGACUGGUAAGAAAGUUAAAGGGGCCCUUAAAGGUGGGGAAAAAGAGCUUAAAACACAAAAGAGCAGGAAUAAAGAGACCUGUGAAAACAAAAGUCUUUCUUGGGACUGCAAGGCUUUCAUAAAAGCAA